CAGAACUUCCGGGAAGGCUGUUACUCAGUCCUCCACAGAUGGACAUUUAGGUUGCUUUGCAAUCUUUUGCUACUACAAGAAGCAGCACUGCAGUGCACUGCCUUGUAUGUUCAUGUCUUUGUGCACGUGUGCAGAUUUGAGCUGACAGAAGAAUCUCCAUCUGCAGAGCUGCUGGGUGCCGGGCAGUUUACAUGAAGCCGACUCUUCUUUGCCUGACCCCGGGGUCAUGUGCUUCCCAGCCUGGACCUGGGCUUCUCACCUGGAUCCAGCGAUCGCCUCGGUUUAUGUACUGGAAGCAGACCUUCAGGUCACAGUUGGUUUUCUCCACCAGGUUCUUCACCUCUUUCAGGAACAGCAGGCUGACAUGGAUGGAGACCAGGCCUGAGAAACCCUCGUCGGGGAAACAGAGGCCUUCUACGAAGAAGAGCAGCUCCGCGGAGCCACCCGUGUACUUGACCACAUGGUAGAGCUUCCGCCGGCCCAGGAUGUGGAUAUAGCGUUGGCCGAAGAACGGGUCUGGAGGGAAAAGGACCAACGUCAGACUCCCACCCACAUCAGAAAGAGGACCCGUCUCAAAAGGCAAGUGAUGGGGAGGGACGAGAUUAUGGAAACAGACAAGAGUCCACUCCCUUUAGCAAAGAGAAGAAACUUCUAGAUAAUGUCCAGACAUCAUGAUUUGCCACAGGUCUCAUGUCACGACACCAAGGUCAAGAGGCCAAGGUUGAGGUCCUGCUUGCAUCCCUCCUGCUCCCGCUGGUGACCCCAUCCUCCAUGACAACCUUAGCCUGGAUGGUGUAAACAUCAACAUCUCCAGCCCCCUGGGGCAGCGGAGCCAGCCUGACUCUGGGCACAUUCCAACCUGUGUGAGGUCACUGCUUGGAGCCCAGGGUGGAUCAGAAGGAGGACUCGCAUUGGGUGACUGCUGGCCACUGCCAUCCUGGCUAAAUACCUCCCUGAUGGGAGGGUCCGGGAUCCCUACUCACCCCCUGGCAAGUGCCUUGGAUUUAGUGGGCCUGUCUAGAGGUGGGUCCAGGGCCGGGCCAGAGAUCCUGGCUCCACUAGGCAGCUGGGCAUGCAGAAGCACCCCCCCGCCCGCCACCCCACAACCUGCCUUGUACCAUGGCAAAUUGCAAUGCCGACUAUUUUGCUGAGGGAGCUUUUAAAAUACAUACAUCAUUAUUAUGACAGUCCCUUGCAUAAAACCCUCUAAUGGCAUUCCAUUGCACUCAGAAUAAAAUCCAAACCCAGUCUGCAUGCUCUGGCCCCUGGCCCAGCUCACUGACCUUGACUCCCAACCCUGCUCUGGGCUUCCAUCUGCUCUUCCCACACUCCAAACUGGUCUCCUCCUCCAGGCUUUGCAGAUGCUGCUCCCUCUGCUUAGAACACUCUUCCCUCGCUCACAAGUGGCUGGUUCCUUCUUAUCGUUCGUUUGAGUCUCAGCUCAGAUGUCACCUCCUCAGAGAGGCCUUUCCAGAGGCAUCCAUCUAGUAGUGCCUCUGCCCUGCCAUUCUCCUCAUUUAUUCUAUUUCAUUUCCUCCAAUUGUAGUACUGAUUAUGUCUCUCUUGCUAGACUGGCAGCUCCUCGAGGGCAGGGUGUGAUUGUCGUGUUUACUGCAGAGAUCUCAAAGCUGAGAACAGCGCCUGGCACCGAAGAGCUCAACACGUAUUCACAGAAAGGGUGAGGCAGAGCCGGCAGCUACAAGGACUAGCUCCAGGGCAGGAGCCCGUGCCCUACACAGUGGGGGCCCAGGACACCUGUUGCCAUCAAGAGGAGCAAGGGGUCAACUCUUCGAGGGUGCCCACUGCAUCUUUAGGGGGUCUUUGAAAGUCAGAGAUGGCAGAAAAUACCUAGAGGUGGUGCCUGCCCUGCCUCAGGUAUCCUGAAGGUGACAUGACUCCAGAAAAGAAGUGCCCAAAUGCCCUUCCUCCCCUGAUUCGUCGGGAAGAAGGGCCUCUGGGUUCUACAUAGACCCAUGUCACUCCAGACUCCUUUGAGAGGAGGAGUGAUGUGUCCCCAUGGAGUCUUUCAACUGCAUGGGACAGCAGCAUUGCCAUGUUACAAUCACCCAGAGACCAAUCCAGGUCUUCUCCAGGCACCUGCACCUGUGAAGGCCACAAAUGCUAAGGGGAGGAGGAGAGGUGGCUAGAAAGGGCUGGGCUGGGGUCACUCACUCUCCACGUAGAACACGCCCACUUUGUCUGAGUCUGACAUGGAAAUGUACAGAACCAUCUCGUAUCCCGCGGGGAGGCGGUCAGGGCCUUUGGUCCGCAGGAUCAUCUGGGACAUGUCCUUGAGAUCUGAGGGACAGGAGGUGAGAAUGAAGAGAUCUGCUGCUGGAGCCUUAGCUUCCCAAUGCCUUUUACUUUGAUAAUCAGGAAAAAAUCCCCAUAGAUGUGUAUUAAUGGAAACUAUAGAAAAGCAUAAAGAGGCCGUGUGCUGUGGCUCACACCUGUAAUCCCAGUGUUUUGGGAGGAUGAGUUGGGUAGAUCGCUUGAGGCCAGGAGACAAACACCAGACUGGGAACCAUAGCAAGAUCCCAUCUUUACAAAAAUAAAAAAAA